CGGGAGACAGCCCUUCCUCCUCUCCCCGCAGCCUCGGUGAAAGCGCAGAUCCCGGUUUGGAAACGCCGCCUGUCCUCCUGCCAGCUGGGAUCCGCUGGGAAGGCGGGAGCAUCCCGGAGGUCCCAAAGGUAAAAGGAAGAGCUGCCUAUGAAUUCAAGGACCUGAUUUUGGUACAAAAAUACCCAUCCAGGGUGAUACACAACAGUGGUGCAUGCUGAAACAUAAGUCGUUGGAGACAGCAGAUGGACAAAAAAUUUCUG
rnacentral:lncRNA from 1 species